rnacentral:tRNA from 1 species
CAGAUUCUAGUAAAUUAAUUACAUGACCCUGUCAGCGUCAAAUUACAGGUUAAAACCUGUGAAUCUCA